GACGAACGCUGGCGGCGUGCUUAACACAUGCAAGUCGAACGGAAAGGCCCGGCGUUUGUGGGGUGCUCGAGUGGCGAACGGGUGAGUAACACGUGAGGAAACCGCCCUUGACUUUGGGAUAACUUCAGGAAACUGGGGCGAAUACAGGAGAGGAGCUCCUGCUGCAUGGUGGGGGUUGGAAAGUGUCGGCGGUUGGGGAUGGACUCGCGGCUUAUGAGCUUGUUGGUGGGGUAGUGGCUGACCAAGGCUUUGACGGGUAGCCGGCCUGAGAGGGUGACCGGCCACAUUGGUACUGAGAGACGGAGCAGACUCCUACGGGAGGCAGCAGUGGGGAAUCUUGCAGAAUGGGCGGACGCCUGAUGCGGCAACGCCGCGUGCGGGAUGACGGCCUUCGGGUUGUAAACCGCUUUCGCCUGUGACGAAGCGUUAGUGACGGUAAUGGGUCAAGAAGCACCGGCUAACUACGUG
rnacentral:rRNA from 1 species